GCCUCUCUCUCUUUCGCUCUCUCUCGUCAUCGACAAAACUAGAUCUGUUUUUUCUUUUCGCUUUUGCUGUUUUAUGGAUGUUACUUAUCGUUUUUUAAGUUCUCAUUUGGGAACCUUGAAACUUGUCAUUUUGAUUCGAGAAAGAUAGAGCUUGUGCUAAGUAGCUUUCUGCCUCGUUAGGUAACGUGUCCGUUAGUGUGAUGUGGGAAAAUGACAUCUUUUUUUUUUUUUUUCCUUUUACGAAAAUUGUUAUUUGUAACUUUUCUUGUUUUAGCAGUUUGAUUUGGGAGAAAUAUUCUCUUCUUUCGUGAUAGGAGUUGGUUAAUGUGCUCAGUUGGUGGUGCUUCGUAUCGUCACGGUCUCAUCGUGAUCCGGAACUCUCGUUUAGAUUUUUGGAACUAUUGUUUUCUGCUUCCUUUGUACUUUGUGAAGAAUAUGCUGCCUUGGCCUUGUGCUUGUCCAUUGACAAGUUCUCUCUGAGAUUUAGUGCUUGUGCUAGUUGUUAAAGAGAGAAGUGUUUCUUCGAAUGGAAGUAUGAUAAGGCGCGCUUCUCCAACCGACGGCUGAAAAACCGUGCUUCUUAUCUUCUCUGGAGGUCUCUGUCUUUUGCCAAUUGCCUUGGAUAGAGUUCUAUUCUCAAGUAAGAAAUAAUUCAAAACAUAUGUCCUGUAAGAACAUGUGGAAUCAAGUACGGGUGGCUUGAGAUAGGAGUUUUACAUGUAUUAAUAGGAAAUUUCGUUUAUUGGUAAUGAAUAUUUAAAAUAUGUUAUAUUUUAGGCUUCUAGCAACAUACAGAGGGCCAGAGGCUAUUGGGUCUAGCUUGUGGCCUUGAUGAAGAUGUUUGCGAUGAAGAGCGUAAUCUCUGGAAAAUCGGAUGUUUGGAUUGGUUUUGGUUAAUGCCGAAUAGACAAAAGGACCUUCAUCCUGUUUAUGUUCCAGGCAAUGUUAGUGCUCCAAAAUCUAAAACGCUAAUAGUUUCAAUGUGGUGAUUCAUUUAUACAUCGUCGAUAUCAUAAAAAGAAAGUUUCAAUGGCAGAGAGGAACAUGGCUGGUCUGUUUUUUCUUCACAUCAUAACAUAUUAUCCUUAAAUGUUAUUUUACGUUUUUGGUAUCACCAAUGUCUUUCUAUAGCUUUCUAUUUUUACUCUCUUCCAGUGUCUUGUUUGGUAGAAGGAUAAACUAGAUUUCCCUCCUACAAGUAUUAUUAUUCUUUCCUUUUCAUUUUUUUUAUCAUUUUGCAAAACUUGUUACAUUUAUUUUUCUUUUGUGUUUUUUAUAGGAUGGCGUUAGAUACAAAGUUUUAACCAAACAUUGAUGAUGCCGUUUACAAAGAUUUAAUUGAAGAUUAAAUUUCCAAUCAAUGGACGUUAUUACAAAUAUUGCUGCUAGUCAAACCUUUGUCAACAGUUGAACAUGCAGGCUUCACAGGGUAUAAGAAGGCAGCUUAUGCUACCUGUUCUUCUUUCUGGUUCUGCUAUUUUAGUUCAUUAUUCACAACAUGCAAUCAACCACCACAAAGUCCCAAACCUUUCCUUUCUAGCAGAUAGAUGCAUGUGCAUGAAACAAGUGCACCAAGUGCAUGCCCAGAUGAUUGUCUCUGGUCGUAUUCAAGAUAACUAUGCAGCUAGCAGGAUCAUGGUUUUUUGUGCCCUCUCGGAUAAAGGGGAUCUCAAUUACGCUUUAAGACUUUUCCAUCAUACCUUUGAGCCUAACACCUUCAUGUGGAAUACCAUCAUUAGGGCACAUGCAUUAAGCCCUACCCCACAUAAUGCCAUUCUAUUGUAUAAGCAGAUGAAGAUGGAAGGCAUCAUGCCUGGCAAACACACAUUCCCUUUCCUUCUCAAGGCUUGUACCAAGGCAGUUGCUCUGUCUUCUGGCCAACAAGUCCAUGCCCAUGUUCUGCAAAGUGGAUUUGAGUUUGAUGUCCAUGUAGCCAAUGCUUUACUGCACAUGUAUGCUUGUUGUGGUGGCUUAGAGUGUGCCCGUCGGUUGUUUGACAAUAUACUGAUGAAAAAUGUAAUUAUGUGGACUACUAUGAUUAGUGGGUAUGCUCAAAACUGUUGCUCAGAGAGUGCUUUAAGUUUGUUCAAUGAAAUGGUCGAGGCUGGGGUUAAACCGAAUGAAGCGACCCUUUGUUCAGUGCUCUCUUCUUGUGCCAAAUUGGGAAACUUGGAGAUUGGGGAACAUAUCCAUGCCUACAUAGAGAGGGAGAGAAUACAAAUUGGGGUGAUUUUAGGCACUGCUCUCAUUGACAUGUAUGCAAAGAAUGGUAGGAUUGAAAUAGCAAGCAAGUUGUUCAGUGACAUGCCUGAGAGAAAUAGUGCCACCUGGAAUGCCUUUAUCUGUGGAAUGGCCAUGCAUGGGCAUGCUGAAAAAUCACUCCAUCUCUACUCAGAAAUGCAGAAGGAAGAUGCAUCAUUGCCUAAUGAUAUUACCUUUGUUGGAGUUUUAUCUGCCUGUUGUCAUGCUGGGUUGAUUGAUGUGGGCCAAGAGAUCUUCAACUCAAUGUAUAGGGUCUAUGAUAUUAGGCCUAAACUUGAACACUACGGAUGCAUGGUUGAUCUUUUGGGUCGGGCAGGAAGGUUGAGGGAGGCAGAGGAGCUUAUUGGGAAAAUGGAUAUGAGACCUGAUGUGGUGGUUUUGGGAGCAUUAUUAGGAGCUUGCAAAAUGUAUGGUAACAUUGAAAUUGCUGAAAGAGUUGUGAAGCAAAUGCUCGAGCUGGAACCUGACAAUCAUGGAGUUUAUGUGGUUCUGUCCAACAUUUAUGCAGAGGUUGGAAAGUGGGAGGAUGUCAUGAGGUUGAGAAAGAUUAUGAAAGCCGAAGGAUUAAAAAAGCUGCCAGGCUUUAGCUUGGUUGGCGAAUAAGCAGAUUAUGUUCGCCGAUUUCAUGAAUUUCAACAUUUAAGAAUACCAGGCUGAAUGAAUUUGGUACUGAUGGUGGGCCAGCAGUCAAGCAAUUCUCACCAAAGUACAACCUGUUUAAGGGCCAUGUUACUAAUUCUCUUGGAGUUCAACUGCCACCAGUUGAGAUUAAACAUCUAGUUGCAGCAGC